rnacentral:lncRNA from 1 species
AAAAAGAAAAAAAUAAAUAAAAUGGAAUGAUCUUUAUGAUAAUGAGAAAAAUGUGGUGAGUGUAAAAAAAGUACUUUUUAUGGCCUUCUUUCAUUUUGCACAUGAUAAAAAUAUGGUGUAAAAUACAAUGAUAAAUGGAAUGAUUCUAAAAAUAUGAAAAAAUCAAUUCUAUAUUAAUGUGAAAUGUGAUGAGUUAUUCUAAAUGGAGACGAAAUGCAAAUAUGGUUAAUGCUAAGAUAAUAAAAAAAA